ACGCUGGCGGCACGCCUAACACAUGCAAGUCGAACGAAGUAGCAAUACUUAGUGGCAGACGGGUGAGUAACAUGUAGGUAUCUGCCCUUUGGCCUGGAAUAACACGAGGAAACUUGUGCUAAUACCGGAUAAGUCUUUACGGAGAAAGCUUUAUGCACCAUUGGAUGAGCCUGCACUUGAUUAGUUUGUUGGUGGGGUAAUGGCCUACCAAGACUGUGAUCAAUAGCUGAUUUGAGAGGAUGAUCAGCCACAUUGGGACUGAGACACGGCCCAAACUCCUACGGGAGGCAGCAGUGGGGAAUCUUGCACAAUGGAGGAAACUCUGAUGCAGCGAUGCCGCGUGAGUGAAGAAGGCCUUUGGGUUGUAAAGCUCUUUCGUCGGGGAAGAAAAUGACUGUACCCGAAUAAGAAGGUCCGGCUAACUUCGUGCCAGCAGCCGCGGUAAUACGAAGGGACCUAGCGUAGUUCGGAAUUACUGGGCUUAAAGAGUUCGUAGGUGGUUGAAAAAGUUAGUGGUGAAAUCCCAGAGCUUAACUCUGGAACUGCCAUUAAAACUUUUCAGCUAGAGUAUGAUAGAGGAAAGCAGAAUUUCUAGUGUAGAGGUGAAAUUCGUAGAUAUUAGAAAGAAUACCAAUUGCGAAGGCAGCUUUCUGGAUCAUUACUGACACUGAGGAACGAAAGCAUGGGUAGCGAAGAGGAUUAGAUACCCUCGUAGUCCAUGCCGUAAACGAUGUGUGUUAGACGUUGGAAAUUUAUUUUCAGUGUCGCAGGGAAACCGAUAAACACACCGCCUGGGGAGUACGACCGCAAGGUUAAAACUCAAAUGAAUUGACGGGGACCCGCACAAGUAGUGGAGCAUGUGGUUUAAUUCGAAGAUACGCGCAGAACCUUACCAACACUUGACAUGUUCGUCGCAACUCUAAGAGAUUAGAGUUUUCGGUUCGGCCGGACGAAACACAGGUGCUGCAUGGCUGUCGUCAGCUCGUGUCGUGAGAUGUUGGGUUAAGUCCCGCAACGAGCGCAACCCUCACUUUUAGUUGCCAUCAUUAAGUUGGGCACUCUAAAAGAACUGCCAGUGAUAAGCUGGAGGAAGGUGGGGAUGACGUCAAGUCCUCAUGGCCCUUACGUGUUGGGCUACACACGUGCUACAAUGGUAUCUACAACAGGAAGCAAGACGGCGACGUCAAGCAAAUCCCUAAAAGAUACCUCAGUUCGGAUUGCACUCUGCAACUCGAGUGCAUGAAGCUGGAAUUACUAGUAAUCGUGGAUCAGCGUGCCACGGUGAAUGCGUUCCCGGGUCUUGUACACACCGCC
rnacentral:rRNA from 1 species